rnacentral:rRNA from 1 species
UGUGGAUUAAUUCGAUGCAACGCGAAAACCUUACCUACCCUUGACAUGUCAGGAAUCCUGAAGAGAUUUGGGAGUGCUCGAAAGAGAGCCUGAACACAGGUGCUGCAUGGCUGUCGUCAGCUCGUGUCGUGAGAUGUUGGGUUAAGUCCCGCAACGAGCGCAACCCUUGCCAUUAGUUGCUACGAAAGGGCACUCUAAUGGGACUGCCGGUGACAAACCGGAGGAAGGUGGGAUGACGUCAAGUCCUCAUGGCCCUUAUGGUAGGGCUUCACACGUCAUACAAUGGUACAUACAGAGGGCUGCUAAAUCGUGAGAUGGAGCCAAUCCCAGAAAGUGUAUCGUAGUCCGGAUUGAAGUCUGCAACUCGACUUCAUGAAGUUGGAAUCGCUAGUAAUCGCGGAUCAGCAUGUCGCGGUGAAUACGUUCCCGGGUCUU